AGUGAGGUGAUCAUACCAAUACUAAUGCAUCAGAUCUCAUCAAAUAAGUCUAAGAAGUGCAAAAUAGCAGCUUUUGAUCAGAUGGUAUGAUCCCUUGCCACUUAAGGCAGGGGGCUAGGGUUCAACUCUAAAGAAUGUUGAUACUUGUUCAUCUUUAUUACUCGAUGUUUUUUUUGGAUCUUAUUCGACCUAACGUAGGCACAAGGA
rnacentral:lncRNA from 1 species